rnacentral:SRP_RNA from 1 species
UGGGGGACAAGUUGGAUACACAGGCUGAAAACCCAGUCAGGUUGGAAACAAAGCAGCUGUAUUAGUUCUGGGUAGGUCAGCUUGUCAUUUUUAA